rnacentral:rRNA from 1 species
GAUGAACGCUGGCGGCGUGCCUAAUACAUGCAAGUCGAGCGAACAGAUGAGGAGCUUGCUCCUCUGACGUUAGCGGCGGACGGGUGAGUAACACGUGGAUAACCUACCUAUAAGACUGGGAUAACUUCGGGAAACCGUAGCUAAUACCGGAUAAUAUAUUUAACCGCAUGGUUCAAUAGUGAAAGACGGUUUUGCUGUCACUUAUAAAUGGAUCCGCGCCGCAUUAGCUAGUUGGUAAGGUAACGGCUUACCAAGGCAACGAUGCGUAGCCGACCUGAGAGGGUGAUCGGCCACACUGGAACUGAGACACGGUCCAGACUCCUACGGGAGGCAGCAGUAGGGAAUCUUCCGCAAUGGGCGAAAGCCCGACGGAGCAACGCCGCGUGAGUGAUGAAGGUCUUCGGAUCGUAAAACUCUGUUAUUAGGGAAGAACAAAUGUGUAAGUAACUAUGCACGUCUUGACGGUACCUAAUCAGAAAGCCACGGCUAACUACGUG